CACGUAGUUAGCCGGUGCUUCUUAUUCCGGUACCGUCAUCCACACAAGGUAUUAGCCUAUGCGAUUUCUUCCCGGCCGAAAGAGCUUUACAACCCGAAGGCCUUCUUCACUCACGCGGCAUGGCUAGAUCAGGGUUGCCCCCAUUGUCCAAAAUUCCCCA
rnacentral:rRNA from 1 species